GUGAGUGUGUGUGGAUUAUAUCUUUGUACAGCUGUGGUAGACGAUCAUACAGUUGAUAUGAAUAUGGUUUCGAAUAAGUAGGGCUGAAAUAAAAUCGACAAUAAACAAUAUUAACAAUUUUGAUAACUGAUUCAUAUUUUUUUUUCUCAAAUUAUUUAUCAAAGAAAAAUCAAAUAUGCUGUACGGACUUUGAGACUUCACGCAAAACACAUUAUUGGACUUUUUUUUUAUGUUUUAGAACAAAACAAAUAAGAGACAGAUCAAUCAAUAAUAAAAAGAAUUGCUAGUUGUAAAUAUAAAAACAAAUACACCUGUUUUUAAGCCUUACUUGUCACUUUUAAUGCUCAUACUCUCUUUUUCUGCCUCUUCAAUGUGACACCCAGCCCCCUGAGCCACACCAUGAGUGUGCCGACGAUGAGACAUUCCUCCACAUUCAAGUCUUUUGAGGAGAUGGUCGGCAGUGUGAAGGAUAAGAUCACUGGCAGUCCGGCAAAUAAUGGAGACACCUUCGGGUUUGAGAGAAGAUCACGCCACAGCACAUGAGGGUGGACCUUUCUAUCACAGUUAAUUAUUUUUCAUACCAUGUAAAGUUGUUUCUGACUGUUGCAUUAAUACAACACGACUCAUAGAAUGUAUUGAAUUUAAGCUGCAGUGUAAAAAUAGUAUUUUAAUAUGUGAAUAAUUAUAUUUCUGCAUGUUGGAUUCAUGUAAUAUUUAAGAGUUAUUUAUUUUUACCUGUGAGCGCAGUAAACUUGUUUUACUACUCACAAUAUGCAUUCGUUGACAUUAAUUGUGACAUUUACGAAACAGAAUAUCACUAACGAAGUAUUUUUGUAUUUCAAAAUUUUUCAAUUAAAGUCAAUUGAAUGGUG